GGACUGCGUCGCGACUGGCGAGCUCCCACGCUGAACAGCAGGGGGCGGGUGGGUCACCACCAGGGAGCGGCAACGCUGUACGACGACGGGUCGAACGCCUGGGCCCUGUGU
rnacentral:ncRNA from 2 species